rnacentral:rRNA from 1 species
GACGUAGGGCGCGAGCGUUGUCCGGAUUUAUUGGGCGUAAAGAGCUCGUAGGCGGUGUGUCGCGUCGGCCGUGAAAACCUGCAGCUUAACUGUGGGCUUGCGGUCGAUACGGGCAUCACUGGAGUUCGGCAGGGGAGACUGGAAUUCCUGGUGUAGCGGUGAAAUGCGCAGAUAUCAGGAGGAACACCGGUGGCGAAGGCGGAUCUCUGGGCCUGUCCUGACGCUGAGGCGCGAAAGCUAGGGGAGCGAACAGG